rnacentral:rRNA from 1 species
CCUANGGGGGGCAGCAGUGGGGAAUUUUGGACAAUGGGCGCAAGCCUGAUCCAGCCAUGCCGCGUGAGUGAAGAAGGCCUUCGGGUUGUAAAGCUCUUUCGGCGGGGACGAAACGGUCCGUGACAACACCACGGACUAAUGACAGUACUCGCAGAAGAAGCACCGGCUAACUACGUGCCAGCAGCCGCGGUAAUACGUAGGGUGCAGGCGUUAAUCGGAAUUACUGGGCGUAAAGCGUGCGCAGGCGGCUCCUUAAGUCAGAUGUGAAAUCCCCGGGCUUAACCUGGGAACUGCGUUUGAAACUGGGGAGCUGGAGUGUGGAAGAGGGGGGUGGAAGUCCAGGUGUAGCAGUGAAAUGCGUAGAGAUCUGGAGGAACACCGAUGGCGAAGGCAGCCCCCUGGGCUAACACUGACGCUCAUGCACGAAAGCGUGGGGAGCAAACAGGAUUAGAUACCCCGNUANUC